rnacentral:rRNA from 1 species
UACGUAGGUGGCUAGCGUUGUCCGGAUUUACUGGGCGUAAAGAGCGCGCAGGCGGUCGUUCAAGUCGAGUGUGAAAGCCCCCCGGCUCAACUGGGGAGGGUCACUCGAUACUGAUCGACUUGAAGGCGGGAGAGGGAAGCGGAAUUCCCGGUGUAGUGGUGAAAUGCGUAGAUAUCGGGAGGAACACCAGUGGCGAAGGCGGUUCUCUGGGCCUUACCUGACGCUGAGGAGCGAAAGCGUGGGGAGCAAACAGG